CAGUCGCCGCGGGAAUACAGAGGGUGCGAGCGUUAAUCGGAUUUACUGGGCGUAAAGCGUGCGUAGGCGGCUUCUUAAGUCGGAUGUGAAAUCCCUGAGCUUAACUUAGGAAUUGCAUUCGAUACUGGGAAGCUAGAGUAUGGGAGAGGAUGGUAGAAUUCCAGGUGUAGCGGUGAAAUGCGUAGAGAUCUGGAGGAAUACCGAUGGCGAAGGCAGCCAUCUGGCCUAAUACUGACGCUGAGGUACGAAAGCAUGGGGAGCAAACAGGAUUAGAUACCCCCGUAGUCCCUGUCUCUUAUAC
rnacentral:rRNA from 1 species